rnacentral:siRNA from 1 species
UGUUUCCAAAAAGGGCCUGUUGCC